CCACAACCAUCCGCCAGGGUACUACGAGCAUCAGCUUAAAACCCAAAGGACUUGGCGGUGCUUAAGACCCCCCUAGAGGAGCCUGUUCUAGAACCGAUACCCCCCGUUAAACCUCACCUCUCCUUGUUUAACCCGCCUAUAUACCGCCGUCGUCAGCUUACCCUGUGAAGGACUAUUAGUAAGCAAAAUCAGCAAACCCCAAAACGUCAGGUCGAGGUGUAGCGUAUGGAGAGGGAAGAAAUGGGCUACAUUCCUUAGCUGUAAGGAAAACGAAAGAUUCCAUGAAAUAGGAAUCAGAAGGAGGAUUUAGCAGUAAGUGGGAAGCAGAGAGUUCCGCUGAAGCCGGCCCUAAAGCGCGCACACAC
rnacentral:rRNA from 1 species